CGGGCGCCUGCUAUACAUGCAGUCGAGCGGACAGAUGGGAGCUUGCUCCGUGAUGUUAGCGGCGGACGGCUGAGUAACACGUGGGUAACGUGCCUGUAAGACUGGGAUAACUCCGGGUUACCGGGGCUAAUUCCGGAUGCUUGUUUGAACCGCAUGGUUCUAACAUAAAAGGUGGCUUCGGCUACCACUUACAGAUGGACCCGCGGCGCUUUAGCUAGUUGCUGAGGUAACGGCUCACCAAGGCAACGAUGCGUAGCCGACCUGAGAGGGUGAUCGGCCUCACUGGGACUGAGAGUCGGCCCAGACUCCUACGGGAGGCAGCAGUAGGGAAUCUUCCGCAAUGGACGUAAGUCUGACGGAGCAACGCCGCGUGAGUGAUGAAGGAUUUCGGAUCGUAAAGGUCUGUUGUAAGGGAAGAAC
rnacentral:rRNA from 1 species